rnacentral:rRNA from 1 species
UAGAUAUGAUCCAGAGUACCACGGGACACGUGAAACCCUGUGGGAAGCAGGAGGGACCACCCUCCAAGGCUAAAUACUACCUAGUGACCGAUAGCGUAUAGUACCGUGAGGGAAAGGUGAAAAGAACCCCGGGAGGGGAGUGAAAUAGAACCUGAAACCCUGCACUUACAAGCUGUGGAAGCACAUUUCUUGUGUGACCGCGUACUUUUUGUAGAACGGGCCAACGAGUUACGUUAAGUAG